AUUGAACGCUGGCGGCAGGCCUAACACAUGCAAGUCGAACGAGUGGCGGACGGGUGCGUAAUGUCUGGGACACGGCCUGCUGGAGGGGGAUAACUACUGGAACCGGUAGCUAAUACCGCAUACCAUCAGAUGUGCCCAGAGGGGAUUAGCUAGUGGGGGGGGUAACGGCUCACCAAGGCACCGAUCCCUAGCUGGUCUGAGAGGAUGACCAGCCACACUGGAACUGAGACACGGUCCAGACUCCUACGGGAGGCAGCAGUAGGGAAUCUUCGGCAAUGGACGAAAGUCUGACCGAGCAACGCCGCGUGAGUGAAGAAGGUUUUCGGAUCGUAAAGCACUUUAAGUUGGGAGGCGUUACCAACAGAAUAAGCACCGGCUAACUUCGUGCCAGCAGCCGCGGUAAUAC
rnacentral:rRNA from 1 species